AGAGACUAUUAAUGAGGUGAUUUAUUGUCGCAUUCUCAACGUCUCCCCCGGUGUGCCCUAUCCGUUUUGAUAAUUACGAAAACAAAACAAAAGCCACAAAAACAAAAGACACUACCGCAUUUUUAAUGAAAAAAGUAGCUUCUUAUCUCAUUUUCUCAACUUUUUUUCUCAUAAGUCCCUUCGAGAAAUAUUUCGGUCAGUUCGCACAUGUUCCUCACAUCUAUUCUCCUCGACAUGUUUUUUUACUCAUUUUUCUUUCUGUCCCGUCUUCUUCUUAUUUGCAGAACGGUCUUGUCACCAACCAACACCUUCCCAUCUUUCACAAUGCGUGCACACACCAAAUUUUUUUUUGGUUGUUCGGUCGCAGUCUCAUCCAGCACAUUGUUCUAGACGGACCCUUCUUCUGUCCUUUUUUCCGAUUUUUUGUUUCGACUUCUCUAUUACCAAUUCAUUCUUUUUGUUUACUUCAUAUGUAUAUAUAUAUA
ensembl:lincRNA linc-112 ncRNA